CGUAGAGCAGCCCGCGGGCCCGCCGCAGCAGCGGCUGCACGCAGUCGUCCACCUCUCCGCUCAGCGCCAAGAUCAACUUGAAUCUCCUUCGUAUUUGCAAACAUGUCCAGACAGCUCCUUCAACAUUAAAAGAAACCAAAACUCCUUACAACAAACCUUUAAAAACAUCUCUACGGCAGUAAGGACUCUUCACGUUGUCUCAGCUGGACCUCAGAUUUACCAAGGAUCUCUGCUGGGGAAAUCAAAUGGAGUGCCAUCCUGCCGAAGCACGUUGGGUCUCUUGUCAUCAGCUAAAGAUCAAGGUGCUGCAUUCAGCUCAUUAGUUUUGGAAGUGAAACAGGAAUACAUGAACGCUGCUGCGGCCUUUUCAUGGUGCUGAGCUGGCUCCACAGUGAGGAAUCCCACGGACAGGAGUGGAGGCAGUGUGACUGACUCCUGCCAGCAGUGAAUGCAGCUCCCUCCCUCACUGCUUCUGUGCUCUGCACUGGUCAGGAACUGGCUCCUCCUGGUUUGUGCCUGGGGUAAGAGGCUCAGGGAGCAUCCUGACAUCAGUGUGACCAUGAUUUCACCAGGCUCACUUACUGCAAGGCUGUCAUCAUCGGAAGCCUCUGCUCCUGGAAACAGAAUUCUCUGUUUGAGAUGAAUAAUAGGUCGAAUAUGGUAUGUGGCAGCUCUGUAGACGCCGAAGAUACAACAUGAACAAAUACAUUGCUCUGGAAAGGUGGCAUAAGAACGUUGCUGAGGAUUUAGGAGUGUCUCCACUACCAGACAGAUGAGUUUGGCAGGGCAAGAUGCCUCAUCAUAUGUCUUAGCAGAACCAGACCUUCCGUAGCGGCAGAGAUCUGUGGGCUGUGAAGACUGGAGAUUGCAACAGGGAUGCUUCUGUGUCCAGGGGUCCUGACCAGAGGGGACGGCUCUGCUUAUCCAGUCUGACCUCCUGCCAAAGCCCUGCUGGAGCAGGGCAAGCAGCUGCCCAGGAGGAUCUGCAGGAGGAAGAGCUGGAAGAGAAGGGGUCAGUGGUUCCCUGAGUGCACCUUAGAUAUUCAAAAGCCCAGCAGGUGCAAUGAGCAAUGUGAUGGGGAUGUCUCACCUGAUGAUUCUUUCGCUAUCAGCCAGCAAAUAUUAGACUGUAAGUAGCAAAAACGUGUAAAUGACUGGAAAAAAAAUCUGCCUGUGUCACUGCAUGAAAGGCAGAUGAAGAGGGAUGAAGACUGAGUGUCAGCGCAGCUGAUAAGGCAGGGGAAGAAUGCAGGAGAGAAGCUGAGUAAAGCAAGAGAGAUGGGAGCCCAGGGCUGGGGCAGCACGUGUUCAUGUAGCAGAGGAAAGUGCAUGUGGCACCAACAUGGUCAUUGCUGGUUGCACAGACAGACGUUGCAGAAGGCCGGGCAGUUUUGCAGACUGGUGUGUACAAGGCAGUGCAGGCAGUGAUGUGUACAAGGUGGAGGCUGAGGGCAGAGCUGGAAUCCGGGAGCAAUGCUGUGGGAAGGAAGAGUGGCAGUACUGGACCCCUGUGGCAAUGAGGAGCAGUGGGAGGACAGAGACCACUGCAGGGAAGUGCUCCAUGGUGCAGGAGGAGCAGCUCAGUUUUUCUUAUGUCCAGCUUGGAGGGAAAUUAAACCAGUUACUCCCUUCUCUUUGGUUGCCUUUUGGGACAUUUCGGGGCACCACUCUGGAGAUGACUGGUGUGGAUCUCUGGCGGGCAGAGCUGCAUGGAGCUUCGCUGGUAUCACUUGCACCACACAAGGACUGGCACAAGCACCUUCUACUUUCAUUACUAUAGUGCUGAGACUGGUGGAGAUUUUCCUGCUGAGGGAGUGAGCACUGGAGUCCCAGGGAAUGACUGGUACCUGUUCUGGAGAGCUGGAAGAGCAGGGCAGCCACUUCCCUGCAUGCAGUACAAGCAGUGUCACACAUGGUGCUGUGCUGCCUCAACACCACAAGACACUGGCCUGUAUUUCCACCUUACCCUGGCUCUUGCCAGUGCUAUUAUUCCUUUGGUUUCAUAGGCAGUAAAUUCACUCACAAAUUUUAUAUAUAUAUAAAAAAGACAUACUGUCAUAAAAUCAGCUAGCUGAGCAUUCCCCAAUGAAAAUGAAAUGCUGCUGCUCCUUAGAAGAAGUGCUGGUUCUGGAUCAUUUGUCUAUUCAAUAUUUGGCAAAGUCUAACUGCAGCCCUGGUGUCCUCUCACUGCUCAGCCCUUUCCCGUCCCUGGAUGCAGCCUUGUUCCUGCACCUACGGAGGCAAAGCAUCCGUGCUAGAGGUCUGUGCUGCCAGUUAUUGAUUGAUUUUUCUUGCUGCUGGAGCUGGGCAAUUUGAAUUUGUGCUGGUGGACGUGUCUGGCUUUGCAGGGCAGAGCUGUGCGGUGCUUCAUCAAAGCGGGGAGUGUGCAGAGCCAGCUCAGCAUGGGGCAGGGCAGCAGCGUUCUCCUUGUCCAUUGGGAUGUGGGCUGCACAGCAGGAUCCCACCAGCAACCCUGUCAUCUCAACUGGGGUCCACAGAGCAGCAGAGGCUCUUCUCGGGGAACCUGGAAGCUGUGACUGCUGCUGGAGGUCCCGCGAGGCGCCUGGGUGCAGCUUUUGCUCCUGGACCCCAUUGCCAGGGACAGUGGCGCACUGCAUGGUGUGGGUGACUGGUACCAUCACUCUCCUCACGGUCUGACUUUCAUGCUGGUGUGUCUUCAGAGAUAAAAUGCUUUGAUUCUACCCAAACUUUUGACGGGUUCUUGUACACAGCUGGGAAGGGGCAGCUCAGAGAAGCUUUCUUUGGCCUAGUCUCCAUCAUUCUCUUGUUCCUGAUGCAGGGCUGAUGGUAGGGAAGUGGGACUCUGCUGGCAGUCCCGGCUCACACAGCUGUCUGGCCGUCUGAUGAUGCAGCCCGAAGGGAAACCAGGAGCCAAAUGGCAGCUUGAGGAUGAGGUAGGUGCCUCCUGGAAGUGCUUGAUGGAAGCUCCUGCUGCCUGAGUGAGCGGUGAACCUGGGCUGGCUGUGAACAGGAGCUGGUGCGCAGCCCACAUCCCUGCCACAGCUCUCCCAGCGCUCCCUCAUGGACUGUGCUGAUUUCGAUGGGCAUGAAACACAGCUCAAGGCUUAUUAUACUCCUAGAAAGAAUGAAGCUUUGAAAGAUCCCCCCGAACCAAAUCCAAACUGCAGAAUGGUCGACUCUUGUCAGUGUUAAUGCCACUGAAUGGCUGCUGGCAAGGACAAAAUGAAUGGGCUUUGCAAGUUCAGCUCUUGGCCUUUUUGAGGCACCUUGGCUGAUGUGCCAGCAGGAGGAGGAAUGUUAUAGCUGAGCCUGGAACAUUUUGCAGAGGCAUUUCUCUUGGCAGGUUUAUGAUCUUUUCUGCCUCAGCUGGGAAGCCAGCAGGACUGAAUAAAUCUCCAGGCCAACAAAAACUCAGGAUGUUUUCACAAUUGCCAGGAUUUUAUUAAUUUACAAGUACAUUGAUGAAUUUAUUCCUUCCUAACAACAGCUUUCACUUAGAUGGGGAGUCCUACAGUGUGUUUGGGUGUGCACGGUAGGCAAAGCUAGUAACACUCUGCAAGGAAGUCACCUGCCAAAUAGUUGUGGCAUUGAUGCCAGUGAAGUGCAGAUGUGAGAGGACGGAUUUGGUGCUCUCAUCUGCCAGGUCCUGCAGCUCUGCAGAAGGGGUCUGCCUGCCCCGUGCCCGGGAGGACCGCGCGCUGGGGGCUGCCCCACACCACCCAGCUCGUGGUGCUCGAGGCUUGCGCAGUCUGCAAGUUCCACCAACACUUGGUGCAAAAAGAAGCUCUUACUUCAUCCUGUAGGUGUCUGCUCUGUGCACGGGAGACUGUUCAACCCCUCCAGGUAACAGUAAUGGGAAAUAGCUCCAAGUGAUUAGAAAAUUAAAACAGGUUAAUAAUUUCCAAAAAGAGAAAAGAAGAAUUAAAAUGUACAUUUUAAAUAUGAUCAAUAAUUUAUCAGACAAUUUUCAUUCAACAAUGAGGAAUUAGGAUGCUUCAAACCCUCCAAAAUGUUAUCGGCAAGGGAAAUAAUUUAAAUUUUCAAUUUUCCUUCCUGUGGGCUGUGCCGGGGCAGGAGCCCCCAUGGCAGCCCUGUCCCUGUGCCCCUGCACGCUGCUCCGUGGCGCUGGGAGCGCGGUGCCUGCUGCUGCUGCCGGGGAUGGUCCUGUGAGAGCUCCAGACAUGUGCUGGCCCACCCGUGUGCUGCUGGGCACCUCCUGGCCCGGGAAGGGGUCUGAGGGGUCUGUCCCGCCGCCCACCCAGCCCCAGUCUCUAAUCAACCCUUAGGGAAUACAGCCAAGUUGGACAUGAAAGAGCAUCAAGCUGGAGUUCAUCGUCCAUGCCAUGAAAAAGCCUGCCUACCAUAAACAACAGAAGGCGCAUGGGAGCUGCUGUGAGAAAUCCUUCAUCAUCUGUGGAAACAUGCCUAGUUUUACAGAAAAAACAAAUACAGUGAGUUGAAAAUAAAUGGCAUUAUUAGCAGAAAGAGAGGCUCUAAUUAACCAGAUAUAGUCCAUUACUGUAGCCUUCAAUUCAUUAAAUUGUAUAAUUACAUAAAACCACUGUUGAUGUGCUAUUCAGUAUAGCUGGUAUUGUCUUCCUAAUAAUUAGCUCUAUAAUUGUCAGUUUGACAGGGUAAUUAAAAAUGUUUAAAGAUGUUGUGUCAGCCUUUUCUCCUUUGCUGAGCUCAGUUGGAUGUCUCUGGAAGAUGAUUUUCUACCUGACUCGACCAUGGUUUUGUUUUUGAUUUAUACCGGUGUGCUACAGGAAUGACCAGACUCAUGGAUUACUUUGAUGUUCCUGCUAGGCUGAUGUUUAAAAGUAGGAGAAAAAUAACUCCUGAUGUCAUUUUCAUUUACUUUCAGGAAAUCUGUGGUCCCAUCCCCUGGUUCAUGCUACUGAUGCUGUGACUUUCUUCUCAGCAGUUUUAUGGACAGAGCAUUGUGAGAUCUGACAUUUGUAGCCCUUAAUCUCGGUUCUGUUUGCUGUGUAAAACCUUUCACCCCACAUGCAUUUUUCAUGGAUGGAUUUCAGGAGCAGGAGCAGAGCCCGUGGCUCCAAGAGGCCCUGUGCAGGGCACAGGGUGACGGUGGUGAGGUGCUGCAGGGAAGCACCAGCCCGGCGGGUCUGUGUGCACUGGAGGGGUGCAGGCAGCGCGUGCCCUGGACACGGUGCUGGGGAGCAGGACCUGAGCCUGGAUGUGCUGGGGAGCCUGGGAGCAGUCGGCUAUCAGCUGGAGACAGCCUGGGAGCAGCGCACCCGAGCCCUGGGCUGGGAGCGUGCUGUGAAGGAAGCGGUUUAUAGAGCCCUUUAUGGCAAUCACUCUUGGUUCUGUUGCUUGAGGGCACUGAUUGCCACUUUGGAUGGUCCAAACCCUGACUUAUUUCCCUUUUCAACAAAAUAAACCUCAAAUAGUCAUUGCUGAGAAGUCAUAAAUAAAUCUGUCCUCACACCCAGGAGCUUUGCCAGCUGGGUUUUGGCUGGAUGGGAGUCUGUUUGUGAAAGCUUUCAAGGGUUUUUGAAAAUAAUCUGUUUUGAAUCAUUAAACAAACAAAGUGAUCUGGUCUUCUGGAAUAAACAGUAAUCACUUGGAAGUGAAA